AUGAAGGAAGAGCUGGUUCUUCGAACCAACAGGCUGAACACACAAUACAGUGUAAAGAAAAAGCACAAGCACAGAGUGUGCGUAUUUUCUGUGGAGGCAGAAAUAAUAGUUUCUUUGGACUCACGAAACAUGCCAGGACAGGAAGAACAUCUCUCACACAUGAGCUCCCAGAGUUACAAGACCAAGAGAACAAGAAUGCCGCUUCCAUUCAUCAUGGGAUUGCACGCAGGGGGAAGAUAUGCACAGCUAACGGUGAAGGAGUAAAGCUCUCUGAAGAUUGAUUCAAUUAAUCUGCAAAAUGUUUCAAGAUUUUCAGACCAAAAGUUAUGGAGGAGCAUUAUAAAUGAACACUUCUGCAACGGCCAAUGGAAAAAAAAAAUCGCAAUGAUACAAAGUGGUUCUUUUAACAGUUAAUGAUUUACAAAAUAAUAAUAAUAAUAAUAAUCUGCUAUGUUAUGCAAAAAGAUAUUUAGAAGAAAUAUUAGAUACUCUGCCAUUACUUACUGGGCUUCCAAGUUUAUUUCUGUAAGAAUUCUAAAAGCAUUCACUCCAAAGUUUUUGAAAUAAAAUUAAAAGUGUGUGCA
rnacentral:lncRNA from 1 species